CGAGUGAAGAGGGAAAAGCUCAAAUUUAAAAUCUGGCAGCGCUUCGCUGUCCGAGUUGUAACCUAGAGAAGUGUAACCUGUGCUGGACCGUGUACAAGUCUCCUGGAAUGGAGCAUCAUAGAGGGUGAGAAUCCCGUCUUUGACAUGGACUACCAGUGCAUUGUGGUUGCGCUCUCAACGAGUCGAGUUGUUUGGGAAUGCAGCUCUAAAUGGGUGGUAAAUUCCAUCUAAAGCUAAAUAUUGGCGAGAGACCGAUAGCGAACAAGUACCGUGAGGGAAAGAUGAAAAGAACUUUGGAAAGAGAGUUAAACAGUAUGUGAAAUUGUUGAAAGGGAAACGUUUGAAGUCAGUCGCGUUGGUUGGGGAUCAGCCUGACAUUGUUGGGUGUACUUCCUGGUCGACGGGCCAACAUCAGUUUUGACUGCCAGAAAAAGGCCAGAGGAAUGUGGCACCCUUGGGUGUGUUAUAGCCUUUGGUCGUAUAUGGUGGUUGGGACUGAGGAAAGCAGCGCGCCGAAAGGCCGGGUUUCGACCACGUUCACGCUGAGGAUGUUGGCAUAAUGGCUUUAAGCGACCCGUCUUGAAACACGGACCAAGGAGUCUAACAUGCAUGCGAGUGUUUGGGUGGAAAACCCUUACGCGUAAUGAAAGUGAAAGUUGAGAUCCCUGUCGCGGGGAGCAUCGACGCCCGGACCAGAACUUUUGGGACGGAUCUGCGGUAGAGCACGUAUGUUGGGACCCGAAAGAUGGUGAACUAUGCCUGAAUAGGGUGAAGCCAGAGGAAACUCUGGUGGAGGCUCGUAGCGAUUCUGACGUGCAAAUCGAUCGUCAAAUUUGGGU
rnacentral:rRNA from 1 species